GUGGGGAAUAUUGGACAAUGGGCGAAAGCCUGAUCCAGCCAUGCCGCGUGUGUGAAGAAGGUCUUCGGAUUGUAAAGCACUUUAAGUUGGGAGGAAGGGCAGUAAGUUAAUACCUUGCUGUUUUGACGUUACCGACAGAAUAAGCACCGGCUAACUUCGUGCCAGCAGCCGCGGUAAUACGAAGGGUGCAAGCGUUAAUCGGACUUACUGGGCGUAAAGCGCGCGUAGGUGGUUUUGUAAGUUGGAGGUGAAAUCCCCGGGCUCAACCUGGGAACUGCCUCCAAAAAUGCAUGACUAGAGUACGGUAGAGGGUAGUGGAAUUUCCUGUGUAGCGGUGAAAUGCGUAGAUAUAGGAAGGAACACCAGUGGCGAAGGCGACUACCUGGACUGAUACUGACACUGAGGUGCGAAAGCGUGGGGAGCAAACAGGAUUAGAUACCCCUGUAGUCC
rnacentral:rRNA from 1 species